UACAGGGGGUGCAAACGUUGCUCGGAAUCAUUGGGCGUAAAGCGCACGUAGGCGGUUCGUUAUGUCGGAUGUGAAAGCCCUUGGCUUAACCGGGGAAGUGCAUCCGAAACUGGCGAGCUAGAGUACGAAAGAGGAUCGCGGAAUUCCCGGUGUAGAGGUGAAAUUCGUAGAUAUCGGGAGGAACACCGGUGGCGAAGGCGGCGAUCUGGGUCGAUACUGACGCUGAGGUGCGAAAGCGUGGGGAGCAAACAGG
rnacentral:rRNA from 1 species